GAUGAACGCUGGCGGCGUGCUUAACACAUGCAAGUCGAACGGAAAGGCCUCAGCUUGCUGGGGUGCUCGAGUGGCGAACGGGUGAGUAACACGUAGGUGAUCUGCCUUUCACUUCGGGAUAAGCUUGGGAAACUGGGUCUAAUACCGGAUAUUCACGGCACCGUGGUUGGUGUGGUGGAAAGCUUUUGCGGUGGGAGAUGAGCUUGCGGCCUAUCAGCUUGUUGGUGGGGUAAUGGCCUACCAAGGCGGCGACGGGUAGCCGGCCUGAGAGGGUGUGCGGCCACAUUGGGACUGAGAUACGGCCCAGACUCCUACGGGAGGCAUCAGUGGGGAAUUUUGCACAAUGGGCGGAAGCCUGAUGCAGCGACGCCGUGUGGGGGAUGAAGGCCUUCGGGUUGUAAACUCCUUUCGUCAGGGACGAAGUUUGUUUGACGGUACCUGGAUAAGAAGCACCGGCUAACUACGUG
rnacentral:rRNA from 1 species